rnacentral:lncRNA from 1 species
UAACUUCAAAUUACAAAUGUACCUUCGGUCUUGAAAGAAGGUAAAAGUACAAGCGUGACGCAAAAGCAAAUGCCAAGUCAGGUUCGCGUGAACAGUACAGAGGUACUGUUCAUCUAUUUAUAGACACAGGUCGCAGCCUGUGACAAAUUACAAUUAUGCCCCUUACAAAAGUUUUCAACAUUGACUCAGAUUAUUAUGGAUAAAAAGGUCAUUCUAUCUCUAUGUCGGUUUGUAAUGCCGAAGCUCCAUAAAAGGAACCUUCGGUCGUCUCCUUGGGACGGCUUCAGCCGAAGCUGCUUCUUCGCGUGGGACCUUCGGCGCACCGAAGCACGACCCCAACAGUAGCCCCUUUCGCGGUGCUAGAUCGUUCUUCGUAACGAGCUUGACCCGUGAAAAAAGCCUCUUCAGCUUCGGGAAGCCGAAGGUCCAAAAAACACCUUCCCUGAGCUCGUUGCGGAGAAACGAUCCGACUUCCGAGCGCGUGCCGGUCCCACCUUGCAGAGUUACUGUUUGAUCCUUGCGGUCCACUGCGCAGCGGGUACAAGUUACGGCGCGCCUGGUGUAACAAUUCCGCCGCUUCGCCUUCUUACCUGCAGUACUAUAUAAACAAGCAGGUAGGUGUGAAGUUACCACAGCAUUCAUUGCUAUUUGCACUGUUUUGCUGCCGAAAUUUUCCAUCAUAGCCGAAGCUUAAAUCCCAAAAUCGAACGAAGGUCCGUCUCGACGCUUGCUUCGUCAGAAAGAAAAGCUUCGGAAAAAAGAAAAAAGAAAAAGGUUUCUGACUUCCCCAAACUCAGAAUCAAAUGGCGAGAGUGCGAUCUACUGCCAAAGUUGUUCGUGAGGGAGACGAAGCCGAAAGUUCAGGCACUGUGCCCAUCUCCGAAGCGAUGCAGCGCUCCGGUCUAGUGACUGUGGAAGAGAGGCCUGGUGCCGAAGCAAACCCGACAGCAGCCGAAGAAGAAAACAUUGAUGGGACCGACUCCGAAGAUGACUACCACAUUGCUACACCCAGCAAGCCCAGUCACCUGGAUUUUGGAAAAUCAACUGUUUCAAAAGCUGACCUUGCGAAGAUGGUGAAAGCAGGUUUUUUCAAUGAAAAUCAGAAGAAGCUACUUCGCUUCGGGGGAGAGGAGACUACCCCAAAGCCAGAGAAGGAUGAGAUUGUAAUUUUCAAAAGCUUUUUAAAAGCUGGGCUGAGAUUUCCUCUCCAUGGAAUUAUUGGAGAUGUGUUGCAAAAAUUUGGCAUUUAUUUUCACCAAUUGACUCCUAACGCCAUCGUUAGACUCAAUGUUUAUAUCUGGGCCCUCCGAAGCCAAGCUGUGGAACCGUUUGCCGACAGCUUCUGCCGAGCCCACGAAUUACAUUACCAAACAAAGGCUAGAACAGACGGACUACAUGAUAAUUUCGGCUGUUACAAUUUUGCCUACCGGAAGACAACAAAGUAUCCUGUCAUCAGCUACCGAAGCAAAUGGCCAGCAGGCUGGAAGUCUGAGUGGUUCUACGUAAAAGUUGACGAAGACAGAGAAAAAUUGGUACAAAGCCCUCUGGAAUUAAUCUUCGGAGAGACGAGGCCACACUGCCACAUCGGCGAUUUAAAGGGUCCUACCUGGGCCGCUCUGGGUGAAUUCGAAAUUAUUUCAAAACAUAUUGGCACCAGGGAUCUGGUUCAGGAAUUUUUGGCAUUCAGAGUUUUCCCUACUUUAAAAGAGUGGGAGAUGCCGAAGCUGGAGGGAGAGAAGAAGGAGGGGGAGCUUGUUCGUCUGCCUUAUCACUUUAAAUUCAAGAAGUACUUUAAGAAACCCUGCAAAGAGUGGUUAAACACAGUUGAGACAAUGUGCAAUGAAAUCUUGGGGAAUUACUCCAAAAAGGAGGAUCAAUUGAUGACAGCAGCCUUCGGCACCCGACCGAAGCGAAGGCUGAACCGAGUAUUCGAUGCCCUGGGCUUCGAAUAUCCAGACUAUGAGCAGUUGAAUAAGGGUGCCGAAGGCCACAAAAGAAAAAGAGUGGCUGAAAUUCUGACGAAGGAUGAAGAGCAACCAGCAGCAGAGAAGAAAAUUCCGAAGAAAAGGAAAAUAUCAACUCCGAAACGGAAAAUAUCCGAAGAAGAGAGAACCCCCACACCGCCUUCUACUAGCGACAUAGAAGAAAUUUUAAAGGUAAUGACUGAACCCAUGCCUACGAAGCUAAGUCCACUAGGGCUCCAACUGACGAAGCUUUUUCGAAAGGUGGACGAGCCGGAUCAGACGAAGACAAGCAAACCCAAGCGGCAAAGAAUCAUUGCGGUAACUGAAGUUAUCGAUAAGACGCCGCCAAGGGCGUCAAUCCAAAAAACGGCAGCUGCCGAAGGUACAGCAAUCGUUGAAGGCGUAGCUUCGGAGGUCGCGGCUACCGAAGCCGCUACAGCCGAAGAUACAAACUUAGAAACCACGAUUAAGAAUAUCAACAAGAUUUUGGAAGACAUGGCCGCGGAAGAAGCUGGUGCUACUACUGAAAAAACCAUGGCCACAGUGCCUGAGAAAGGAAAAGAAAUAGCCGAAGACCCUUCGGACGACGAAGCAUACACUUUCCAGAACUUAGUUGGGCAAAAACUGACGAAGGACGAAAUAGAAGAACUUAAAGACUACGCCAAGUCUUGCGGGUACGAGUCAGGUGCCCUCCUAUUUGGGGGUGUAGAUGAUGAACAACUGGGCUGCAUCCGGGACUCAGCUGGGGCUAAGGUCAUCGGUACUCUAUCAAAGAGUAUCGGUUUUCCGAAGCUGGAGUCAGACAUCAGCCGUUACCGACGACAACAUGUCGUUGGUAGUUUAUUUUAUUCCAACUUCAAGGUGAAUGACUUUUUUCUUAACCUUUAUUGCUUCUAAUAAAAACAUGUCUGACGAAGGUUGUGUUUGUGUAGAGUAUGUUAUUGAGCAAAGCCUUGCAAAUGCAGCAAGAUCUUGAAGAUAAAAAGCAUGAAAUUAUAAUCGGAAAUUUGGAAAACAAAAUAAAGGAGCAAUCAGAUGCUUUUGAGAAAAAGAACUUUGAGCUCCAGGCAGCCGAAGGCUUACUGGCGGAAGCUGAAGCAAAAAUAUCAGAACUAAACUCGAAGCUUCUCCGCCAGUCCGAGCAGUUCGAACGAGAAAAACAAGAUCUCAAUGAAAAACUUGAAGCCGAAGCUCAGCAGAAUUCAGAUUUGAGAAAACUACUGACAAAUCUUCAAGAAAAAUGCCUGGAAUUUAGCAACAAGUGCAUUCAACGAUUAAGAAAGAUCUUUUACUCGGUUGGAGCUAGCAGCGAAAAAUUUACCCCCUCAGCUGAAGAUCUACCAAAAACCUUUGAACACAUUGAGGGGGAGAUUGACGAGCUCGACGAAGUCAUAGCUGGGCAUGGUGACUUCUGUGCCUGGGUGGCUUCUCGAGGAACCGCUGCUGCAUUUCUGAAGGCCGGCUGCGAACACGGAAAAAUUGUCAACAGGCCCAACUUCACCUUAUCUCCAUCAAUCCUGGAUGAUAUGCCUGACCUCGCCCGAAGCAUCUCCAAUAGAUUUAUAAAAAUGAUAUGGACAAAAGGCGGGCGGGAGAAAGCUGGAGACGAAGCACGAAGUCAUCUUGAACCAGUAAGAAAUGAUACUUCGGAGUUACCUUUUCCUUUGCUCUUGAUUUUUACUCAUAAUCUCUUAAUUUAUGUAGGAUGACGAAGGUGAAGAUGAUGCCUAAAUUAUGUCGUCGAAGCUGAAACUUAAUGAAGAUCAGUAGAAGUGUACUGUAGAAAAACUCAGGAUAUUUUUGUAACAAUUCUUGUAAAUACAACUAGACUAUCUUCAAGGAACUUUGUACAUACCUUGUAAUAUAUUCUUACCCUUUGCUUGAGGCGCUUUGAUGUGGACGAAAUCAGUAUUUUGAGCCGAAGGCGAAAAAAAACACCUUCCCUUCUUUUCGUACACAACGAAGCCUAAAAGGUCGCUUCCUCUUUUUGCCGAAGCUUUGCUUUUUUGUACAUGACAAAACAUAAAAGACUACUUCUCCUUUCUGCCGAAGCUUUUCUUUACAAAACAUAAAAAACUACUUCUCUUUUCUGCCGAAGCUUUCCUUUACAAAACAUAAAAAACUACUUCUCUUUUCUGCCGAAGCUUUCCUUUACAAAACAUAAAAAACUACUUCUCUUUUCUGCCGAAGCUUUUCUUUGCAUGACAAAACAUAAAAGACUACUACUCUUUUACACAACGAUUCAUAAAAAACCAGUUCUCCCUUAUACUGAAACUUUUCUUUGUGCCAAAGCAACGAAACUUUUCACUUUUGCACACAACAUAGCGUAACAAGUCAUAAAAAGGCACUUCUCCGAAGCUUUUUUGCCGAAGCAGCCACUUGGGAACACAAAUGCUAUGAAUGCUUAUGCAUGCAAAUGUUAUGAUGUAAUGUAAUGCACGAAUGAAUGUCCGAAGCAUAUGUCCGAAGCCAUAUUGUCAGCCAUUACUUGGAAACAACCACACAUUAGCUCUGCAUUCCCUUAGGAACGACUUUGGAGCUUCUUCGCCUCUUACUUAGGCAAUAUCAGCGUUGACUUUUCGCUGUAAGCUCUGCAUCCCCUUAGGGACGUCUUUGGAGCUUCUUCGUCUUUUACUUAGACGGUAUAAGCUCUGCAUUCCCUUGGGAACGUCUUUGGAGCUUCUUCGCCUUUUACUUUCGGCGGAAUCAGCGUUGACUUUUCGCUGUAAGCUCUGCAUCCCCUUAGGGACGUCUUCGGAGCUUUUUCUCUUUUUCAGUUUCGGCACUCGAUGGUGCGCUCUCAGCUUUUACAUGUACAUCUUUGGGGGAUUUUGCUCUUAUAAAACUAAAAUGAAAAAUUACAUGUGAUGGCCCCAUUAAAAACCUUUCUCCCCCUUUAGAAAGGAAAAGGGUGCCAUAAAAAAGAAAAGAAAAAACAUGAAUAAUUACAUCAAGUUAUACAUAAAAUCGCCGAAGCUCAUCGGCAUUCCAAGAUCUUGGAAUUUCAUUGCCAUCCAUGUCCUUCAGUCUGUACGAACCGGGCCUUGACAAUCCUUCUUGUUAUCGCAGCGAUUUUCUAAAACUUUUGGCACUUAAACCUGAGGAAGAAAUAAGCUUUCCUCGUAAAAAACAACGAAAUUAUUAUAUGAAAACUUAACACUGUUCUUUAUUACAUGAAAGAUGGAAUUGAAUAAGAAAAGGCUGCUAUCAAGGGUAGGAUAUAUGUCAAUAGAUGUGUUUCGAUUCUGGCACAGUGCUGUUGACUGUGCGAGCUUCGGACUGUUCCCUGAGUUCCCUUUGUUGUGGAGCAUAUUGACUCCCUUCUGGCGGUUGACCUUGCUGUAGUGGAGGUGGAGGUGGAAACUGUUGCCAGGAAGCUUGAGGUUGACUUGCCGAAGCUACGGAAGCUGCAGGAUGGUUGUCUAUGUACUGUGGGAUGUAAGGUGGAUGAUACGAAGCAGUAUGCAUGACCUGCUUCGGCUGAGCUUGUUGCGCCGCAGCUUCGGCUAUCUCCUUUUGCUUUUGAGUUGUAACAUGACACGUCCUGGUGGUAUGUCCCUUGUUUUCUCCACAAAACAAGCAAAACAGCCUCCUUGGCUGAUCCCCAAAUCUUCCGCCGAAACCCCUGGCACUUCUGCCUCUUGGGGCUGGUGGCCGGAAGAAGCUUUGCUGUUGCCCCGAAGCCUGCGAGGAACACUGUGGCCUGUUCUGCUGACCACCCUUAUCAUCAUUUUGGUUAGAAUUAUGGAUGGACCUGACAUGCUUCGGAUAGAAUCUUCCUCCGAAGCCCCUGGUCAUCUCAGAAAACCUGAAGGCCUCCUCCCUUCUCUGGCGAAAAUCGUUAUCAGCACGAAUGUACUCAUCCAUCUUUUGAAGCAGCUUCUCCAGAGUCUGAGGAGGCUUCCUAGCAAAGUAUUGGGCUGCAGGUCCAGGACGAAGCCCCUUGAUCAUGGCUUCGAUAACAAUUUCAUUGGGCACCGUUGGUGCCUGCGCCCGUAAACGCAAGAACCUUCGGACAUAUGCCUGAAGAUAUUCUUCGUGAUCCUGAGUGCAUUGGAACAAAGCUUGAGCAGUGACCGGCUUCGUCUGAAAGCCUUGAAAGCUAGUUAACAACAUAUCCUUUCAGCUUUUGCCAUGAAGUAAUUGUUCCUGGUCGAAGGGAGGAGUACCAAGUCUGAGCAACAUUCCUGACGGCCAUUACGAAGGAUUUCGCCAUAACUGCAGCGUUGCCCCCAUACGAAGACACUGUUGCUUCGUAGCUCAUCAAGAACUGCUUCGGGUCCGAGUGGCCAUCAAACAUGGGAAGCUGGGGUGGCUUAUAGGAUGGAGGCCAAGGUGUAGCCUGCAGCUCAGCAGACAGAGGAGAAGCAUCAUCAAAAACAAAAUUUCCAUGAUGGAAGUUGUCAUACCAGUCAUCUUCAUUGAAGAAACCGUCUUGGCGAAGGUCAUUUUGUUGUGGCCUUCGGUUUUGCUCGUCUUGAGUAAGAUGGCGAACUUCCUCAGAGGCUUCGUCUAUCUGCCGUUGCAACUCAGCUAGCCGGGCCAUCUUCUCCUUCUUCCUCUGCACCUGUUGAUGCAGUAUUUCCAUAUCCCUGAUUUCUUGAUCUAGCUCUUCUUCCUGAAGCGUCGGGCUAACAGCCUUUCUCUUUUGGCUUCGAGCCUCCCGAAGAGAGACGGUGUCCUGGUUGUGGUCCAGCGGUUGCAAUGCUGCAGCCCCAGCCGCUGAAGCUUUCUUUGGCGGCAUGACGAAGGUCGAUGCUUGCCGAAGGUGGUCGAAAAAGGGUUCACCGGAGGUGGGCGCCAAUGUUGGGGACUUGUUCUCAAAUACUAAGAAUUAAGAACAAGGCAACAUAGAAAAUGUUAAGUGUUAAAGUCCUUCGUCCUCCAAACGUCAUAUCCCUUCGGGAUAUAAAGAAUCUCGGACGAAGGUUACGAAGGACAUACCUUCGUAAGCAUAGUAGCAAAGAACGAAGUAUUCAUACAAAUCAUGAAGUAUGAAAUAAACAUGUAAGUAUUAUCAUAGAAUAAACUUUAUUCUUAUUAUUAUGAACGAAUAUAAAUAACUUCAAAUUACAAAUGUACCUUCGGUCUUGAAAGAAGGUAAAAGUACAAGCGUGACGCAAAAGCAAAUGCCAAGUCAGGUUCGCGUGAACAGUACAGAGGUACUGUUCAUCUAUUUAUAGACACAGGUCGCAGCCUGUGACAAAUUACAAUUAUGCCCCUUACAAAAGUUUUCAACAUUGACUCAGAUUAUUAUGGAUAAAAAGGUCAUUCUAUCUCUAUGUCGGUUUGUAAUGCCGAAGCUCCAUAAAAGGAACCUUCGGCCGUCUCCUUGGGACGGCUUCAGCCGAAGCUGCUUCUUCGCGUGGGACCUUCGGCGCACCGAAGCACGACCCCAACACC